UAGUCCACGCCGUAAACGAUGAUUACUGGUUGUGCGCGAUACACAGCGCGCGACUGAGGGAAACCAUUAAGUAAUCCACCUGGGGAGUACGUUCGCAAGAAUGAAACUCAAAGGAAUUGACGGGGGCCCGCACAAGCGGAGGAACAUGUGGUUUAAUUCGAUGAUACGCGAGGAACCUUACCUGGGCUUAAAUGUAGAGUGCAUUAUUUGGAAACAGAUAUUUUCUUCGGAACUCUUUACAAGGUGCUGCAUGGUUGUCGUCAGCUCGUGCCGUGAGGUGUCGGGUUAAGUCCCAUAACGAGCGCAACCCUCAUCAUUAGUUGCCAGCGGGUAAUGCCGGGGACUCUAAUGAAACUGCCGGUGUAAACCGAGAGGAAGGUGGGGAUGACGGUCAAGUCAGCACGGCCCUUAUGUCCAGGGCUACACACGUGUUACAAUGGCCGGUACAAAGGGCAGCUACACAGCGAUGUGAUGCUAAUCUCUAAAGCGGUCCCAGUUCGGA
rnacentral:rRNA from 1 species